CGCUCAGGCGGUAGAGCGCUCGGCUUGGGACCGAGAGGCCGCAGGUUCAAAUCCUGUCCCCCUGACCA
rnacentral:tRNA from 1 species